rnacentral:rRNA from 1 species
UACAUGCAAGUCGAACGCACUUUCGUUAAUUGAUUUUGAGAUGCUUGCAUCGAAGAUGGUUUUAACUAUAAAGUGAGUGGCGAACGGGUGAGUAACACGUGGGUAACCUGCCCAGAAGUGGGGGAUAACACCUGGAAACAGAUGCUAAUACCGCAUAACAAAAUUAACCGCAUGGUUGAUUUUUAAAAGAUGGCUUCGGCUAUCACUUCUGGAUGGACCCGCGGCGUAUUAGCUAGUUGGUGAGAUAAAGGCUCACCAAGGCAGUGAUACGUAGCCGACCUGAGAGGGUAAUCGGCCACAUUGGGACUGAGACACGGCCCAGACUCCUACGGGAGGCAGCAGUAGGGAAUCUUCCACAAUGGACGCAAGUCUGAUGGAGCAACGCCGCGUGAGUGAUGAAGGCUUUCGGGUCGUAAAACUCUGUUGUUGGAGAAGAACGUGUGUGAGAGUAACUGCUCAUGCAGUGACGGUAUCCAACCAGAAAGCCACGGCUAACUACGUGCCAGCAGCCGCGGUAAUACGUAGGUGGCAAGCGUUAUCCGGAUUUAUUGGGCGUAAAGCGAGCGCAGGCGGUCUUUUAAGUCUAAUGUGAAAGCCUUCGGCUUAACCGAAGAAGUGCAUUGGAAACUGGGAGACUUGAGUGCAGAAGAGGAGAGUGGAACUCCAUGUGUAGCGGUGAAAUGCGUAGAUAUAUGGAAGAACACCAGUGGCGAAGGCGGCUCUCUGGUCUGCAACUGACGCUGAGGCUCGAAAGCAUGGGUAGCGAACAGGAUUAGAUACCCUGGUAGUCCAUGCCGUAAACGAUGAAUGCUAAGUGUUGGAGGGUUUCCGCCCUUCAGUGCUGCAGCUAACGCAUUAAGCAUUCCGCCUGGGGAGUACGACCGCAAGG